UACGUAGGGGGCAAGCGUUAUCCGGAAUUACUGGGUGUAAAGGGAGAGUAGGCGGCAUGGUAAGUUAGAUGUGAAAGCCUCGGGCUUAACCUGAGGAUUGCAUUUAAAACUAUCAAGCUAGAGUACAGGAGAGGAAAGCGGAAUUCCUAGUGUAGCGGUGAAAUGCGUAGAUAUUAGGAAGAACACCAGUGGCGAAGGCGGCUUUCUGGACUGAAACUGACGCUGAGGCUCGAAAGCGUGGGGAGCGAACAGG
rnacentral:rRNA from 1 species